AAUAUUUAAUCAUCUUAUAUAAUCCAUCGUGCAAUUCUUUAUAGCCAAAAACUCUCGCCAAGGGAUUCAAACUCUUUUUUCGUUAAUGCUUUAUUGGAUAAAUAUGAUUCUCUCUCUCUCUCUCUCUCUCUCUCUCUCUCUCUCUCUCUCUCUCUCUCUCUCUCUCUCUCUCUCUCUCUCUCUCUAAAAGUUAACGAGUCAUACGAAUUUAACAGUGGCAAGUAAAAAGAAAACGAAGUCUUGGGUUAAAAGUUAGUGAGUCCCACGAGUCUUUAGAAAACGCUAAUAUAUAUUGUUAUUGUUAUUAGACUAUGAUCGAGUACCCACUAUCCAUAUCACCGAGAUAUCCACUCACUAAGUAGUGAUCUCUCUCUCUCUCUGAAUGAAGUGAAUAUAUAUUUUUUCGAUAAAAAAAUAGCAUGUAUAGUUAUUAUGGAUGUACUCGAUCAUAGUCUAAUAACAAUAACAAUAUUUAUUAGCAACCUAAAAAAAAAAUCGGACAUGAAGAAUUAUCAAUAAAUCCAAUAAAUCCGAGCAACUGGUACCGGUACCGUACCGUUUAGCUGGUACCGUUAGUACCGGUACUGGUACCGGUGUAGCUGCCCGCCAUGGCUCCAAAUCUCAAAUGUGCGGCCUGCUGUGUUUGUGGGAAGAAACGGAGAACACACCCUGGUGUGAAGCUCCAUUUAUUCCCAAAGGAUGCCAGAAGGUGCCUCCAGUGGGUGAAAGCCUUGAAAAUUGGCUUUCAAAAGCAUACUCAAGCCAUCUGUAGUGACCACUUUGAUGGGGUUCAUUUUGGCAGCAAGGGCCAGCUGCUGCCGACUGCAACCCCACGUCACACAGACGGCCAUGAGGAACAACCACCCACUGGGUUCCCGGUUGAUAGUCAGCAUUUUCUUGUGUACCAAAUGCAAUGCAUGAGUUGGUAAUAGACUAAUAGUGAAAGAAACCUUGAUGCACUGAACAAAAGUUAGAUUUCCACACUUGAUGGGUUGAGUGUAUUCACCUGACAGAUAAGAACAAAUAGUUGUUUUGUAAUCAUUAUCACUUACUUUUGAUUGAUUUGCUUACCUCAGCAUCAUCCCACAAUGCAGCCGCCAUUGACUUGGAGCCAAUGGAGUUGGAACUCUCCUCUACACAGAUUGUGUUACCACAUUAUGAUCUAAACACAGGUUUCGGUAACACCCAAGAGAAUGUGGCAGCCCAAGAGGAGAGUCCAAGAAAGAGGCCACGGGUGGAGUUAAAUAGAACUCAGCCACCCCCUGAGGAAUGUGGAAGUAUCCAACCCCACCUGCUCAGUGUCCCCCAAGCCACACAUGAAAAUGAACUGCAGCCUGACCCUGACGAGUGUGCUCCCCAUUGCACUGCACCAGCUCCAUGUGCUGAUUUUGGGUGUGAAACUGAAGGGGUUGGAGGAAACCCGACUCGGCCAUCAAGCUCACCAAAAUACAGUAAGCAACCUCUUGUGCUCAGUGAUAAUUUAUCCUCUAGUUACUGUUCAGUGUUGUUAUGACCACAUUUAAUGUGUUGGAAACAUUACAGCUUAACAAUAUACCUCACAUCCCUGCAUACAAAUUGAGUUCAGUAUUUAACUGUUACACCAGUACAUA